UCAAUCAUUCGAUCAAUCACAUUGAUUAGGACGAUGAUAAUGCUUUGAGAGAUAAGAGGAAAAAACAUGACAGUGGUAAUCCUUUCUAUCAGAUUUUCAACAAUGCAAUUUGUAAAAUGUAAAGAUAAAUGGUUGUCAGGGGCGACCUCAUACGGAAGUUAUGUUUAUUAAUCGAUACAAAAGUUCGAUGGUUAUAAAAAAAGCACGUGUUUUAGCAUGACGCAUCCAUUCAUUGUCUAAUCACUAUUCAAGCUGUUGGUCUGUUUUCGAAAUCAAAGUUUUUUUUUAUUUGUGCCAUCGUUGUGCUGAAUGAUUGAUAUAUUAUUCGUUUCAUCCUUUGAAAUGUCGAAAAUAAUUUCAAUCUGAAAGUGGAUCAAUUAACAUGCCCUUGGAACAUCCAUAUGAUGAAUAAUGCCGAACCAUCCAUUCCUUCAAAGAAAAAUUCAAAAAAAACCAACAAUGCAAAAUGAUCGCAUCAAAUGCGAUUCUUUUAAACUGA